UGCAUAGGCGGCCUAUUAAGUCAGUGGUGAAAGGUAUCAGCUUAACUGAUGACGUGCCAUUGAAACUGAUAGGCUUGAGUACAGACGAGGUAGGCGGAAUUUAUGGUGUAGCGGUGAAAUGCAUAGAUACCAUAAAGAACACCAAUUGCGAAGGCAGCUUACUAGACUGAGACUGACGCUGAGGCACGAAAGCGUGGGGAGCGAACAGGAUUAGAUACCCUGGUAGUCC
rnacentral:rRNA from 1 species